UACGGAGGGUGCAAGCGUUAAUCGGAAUUACUGGGCGUAAAGCGCACGCAGGUGGCCGAGUCAGUCGAUUGUGAAAGCCCUGGGCUUAACCUGGGAAUUGCAGUCGAUACUACUUAGCUAGAGUAUGGGAGAGGGCAGUGGAAUUCCCGGUGUAGCGGUGAAAUGCGUAGAUAUCGGGAGGAACAUCAGUGGCGAAGGCGGCUGCCUGGCCCAAUACUGACACUCAGGUGCGACAGCGUGGGGAGCAAACAGG
rnacentral:rRNA from 1 species